UACAGAGGGUGCAAGCGUUAAUCGGAAUUACUGGGCGUAAAGCGCAUGUAGGUGGGUAUUUAAGUCGGAUGUGAAAUCCCCGGGCUCAACCUGGGACUUGCAUUCGAUACUGGAUAUCUAGAGUAUGGUAGAGGGAAGUGGAAUUUCCGGUGUAGCGGUGAAAUGCGUAGAUAUCGGAAGGAACACCAGUGGCGAAGGCGCCUUCCUGGACUAAUACUGACACUAAAGUGCGAAAGCGUGGGGAGCAAACAGG
rnacentral:rRNA from 1 species